UUGGGAGGGUGAGGUGGGAGGAUAACUUGAACCCGGGAGGUGGAGGUUGUAGUCAGCUGAGAUCAUACAGUUUGGAUGUGUGUCCCCUCCAACUCUCAUGUUAAAGUGUGAUCCCCAAUGUUGGAGGUGAGGCCUGGGGAGGUGUUUUGGUCAUGGGAGGAGAUUCCUCACAAAUGUCUUGGUGCCCUCCUCACAGUAAUAAGUGAGUUCUCACCCUGUUACUUUGUGCAAGAGCUGGUGACUUGAGUCUGACAUCUCUCCUGUUCUCUGGUGUAUUGUGGGCUGGACGUGAUGGCUCAUACCUGCAAUCCCAGCACUUUGGGAGGCCAAGGAGGAGGGUUGCUUGAGCCUACAAGUUGGAGACCGGCCUGGGCAACACAGUGAGACAUCGUCUCUAUGAAAAACAAAAUUAGCAUGGUGUGGUGGUGCGUGCCUGUGGUCUCAGCUACUUGGGAGCUGAGGUGGAAGGAUCACUUGAGCCUCAGAGGUAGAGGGUGCAGUGAGCUGUGAUCACACCACUGCACUCCAGACUGGGCAUCAGAGUGAGACCCUGCCUCUUAAAAAAACAAAUGGUGUGUUGUAUAUUUCAAAAUUGCUGAAGAGUAUAUUUUAAAUGUUCUAGUGACAAAAAGUAAUAAGUAUAUUAGGUGGUAGAUAUGGUAAUUAAUUUGAUUUAUCAUUUAACAAGGCAAACAUACAUUAAAUCAUCAUAUUUUACCCCAUAAAUAUACACAAUUAUUCUUUGUCAACUUCUUAAAAAGAUUCCUAGCAGAAAACAUACAAGUAAGUCUUAAUGACCUCGAGUUAGGUAAUAUUUUCUUAGAUAUUACACCAAAAGCACAAGAGAGAAAAGAAAGAAUAGACUUCAUCAAAAAUUAAAAACCUAUGCACUGCAAGCAAUAGCAUCAAGGAAAUGAACACAAUCCACAUAAUGAGGAAAGUAUUUGCAAAUUAUAUAUAUGAUAAGGGAUGAGUAUCCAGCAUAUCUUCUAAAACUCUUACAACUAAAUAAUAAUAAAAUAAAUAACCCAAUUUAAACAUGGAAAAAUCUGAAUAAACCUUUUCUCAAAAAGGAAUACAAAUGGCCAAUAAGCACAUGGAAAAGACACUCAGCAUUGUUAUUUACCAAGGAAACGCAAAUUAAAACUACACAGGAUAUCACACCCACCCACCCAGAUGACUGUAAUAAACAGGAAAAUAGAAAAUAACAAAGGUUGAAGAAUCUGGAGAGAAAUGUGAGCCCUCAUACACUGCUGGUGGGAAUGUAAUUGAUGCAGCUCUGUGGAAAACAGUUUGCCAAUUCCUCAAAAAGUUAAACAGAAUUACCAUGUGGCGUAGCAAUUCCACUCCUAUGUGUACACCCAAGAUAACUGAAAACAGGUUCUCAAGCAAAUACAUGUAUACAUAUGUUUGUAACAGCACUAUUCACAAUAGCCAAAUGGUGGAAACAGCCCAAGUGUCCAUCAACAGAUGAAUGGAUAAAUGAAUGCUGAUACAUGGAUACAAUUGAAUUUAUUCAGUUGUAAAAAGGAAUGAAGUACUAAUAAAUUCUAUAAUGGGGAUAUGCCUUGAAAACAUUAAGUUAAAAAAAAAGUUACACGAAAGGUCACUUAUAAAUGGUGUGAUUCCAUUUAUAUGAAAUGUCCCAGAUAGGUAAAUCCAUAGAGACAGAAAGCUGACUGGUGGUUGCCAAGGGUGAGGGUAGAGGGGAAAGAGAGGAACAGCUAAAUGGGCAUGCGGUGGUCGGGGGCUAUGGAGCCAGGUGACUCGGAGGUAAAAAGCAAUUCUGGAAGAUGACUGAGCUACUCUUCCUUCAACUUGAGAGAGGAAGGAAGAGAAGGAAGGAGAGGAGGGAAAAGACAGGGAGGGGAGAGGGGAAGAGAAGAGAGGGGGAUGUGAGACAGAGGGACACAGGGAGAUGGGGAGGGGAGGGGGAGGGGGAGAGGGGAAGAGGGGGAGAGGUGGAAAGGGUGAGGGGUGAGUGGGAAAGAGAAAGAGAGAGAGAGAGAAAAGGGAGAGAGAGAAAAGAGAGGGAGAGAGAAAGAGAGGGAGAGAGAAAGAGAGAGAGAAGAGAGAGAGAGAGAAGAGAGAGAGGGAGAGAGAGAGAUGGUUGCCCAAAAAGAAGUUAGUGAACACAGCAGGCAUUGCUCAUCUUGAUGGAAUACACACAACAAAACUCAGUCCACUGCCUGGGCUGCCCUUACUUACCCAGCACACUCCUGGGGUAGUCGGUCCUCAUGCCUGAGACACUGAACCUCAUGAUUUCCUGGCGCUGAGAGCCCAGGAACUCCAGGCAAUAGUGCCUGGGCUACAGGGCUGGGUCUGGUUCGAGGGCAGGAUGAUCCCCUCAUCACAGUCCCAACAGAUUGCAGAUCUAGUCUCCACUCCUGAGUGUCAACUGGCACAACCACAGUCCAAUAUCUGGAAGAGUCAGAGCUGAUGAGCUGGCAGGGGACCUCUGGGAGCCCCCAACCCUAUCCACAGUGCUAUAAUCCUCCCUCCUUUCUUCUCCCUCCACUCACCACACCCAUUCUCACCUAUGGUCCCUUCUGAGUCUGAGCCCAGGAGUUCAAAAAUAAAGAUCAGCUG
rnacentral:lncRNA from 1 species